rnacentral:tRNA from 1 species
GUGGAAGUUGGGGGUAAGUAGUCGUUUCGAGGCGAUUUUCGACCGCUCCCGAAUACAGAAUUGAGCCACUACCUUGCCAAGGUAAGGGUCGAGGGUUCGAACCCCUUCUCCCGCU